CCUAAAUCCCCCAUCUAUUAAAAUCCCUAAUCAGUCAGAGCCAAAGAGAGCACUUCGUCGAUUUCUUACCCCCGAUUCCUCGAUUGGUUUUUUUAGUUACAAGGAAAAACUUUAGUUUUUCGAUUUCUUGCAAACUUACAUAACCCACACAGAGAAGACGAAGAAUGUGGCAGUCGGAUUCUUUUUUUGGUGAAUCAGUAUUUAAGGGUUUGUUCGGGGCUUUCAUUUGUCUUCAUCGUUGUCAAGGGAGUGCCUUAAGCUUAUUCCACACGAGAAGUUUUCUUUUGCGAAGGUUAUGAUAGACAUUGAAUGUUUUUCACCAAUCUCUCUCGGGUUCAGAUCCCUAAACCCACCAAUCGUAUCUACAAGCAAGAAUGCUGCCUCUCCUUCGAUUCUCCGGUACUCUUUUUUUGUUGUUGUUAUCUGUUUGUUUCUCGAGAAACUACUUGAUUUCUUGUGACUGAAAAAUACCAUGUUGAUAGGCUAUUUGUUUUGACCUUUUAGUGUUUUCGAAUUUGUUUUGUUUAUGACAAAGUUAGUAAAAGUUAGAUUUUUUUGCUUGAGUUUUUAAACUUUUUUUUAGGUUUUUUUGGUUCAAGAUUUUUAAAGAACUAUUAAAUGUGGUUGAAUUUUUUUGCAGAGGUCAGAAAGAGGAUUAUUUGUUGUUAAUUGGUUGAAUCUUUUUACUAAUCUGCGGUAUAAUAUGUUUUUUGGUCUUUGAUGUUUGGCUGGGAUAUUGCAUCUUUUAGAAAUUAAUCUUUGAGUAAUUUGUACAGCUUUAUGGUAGUCAAGCUGUUCUGCGGCAGGAGGUUUCCAUUCCUGUCUGGUUUUACUCUAAAGAGGCUUCUCCCCCUAGUUUAAAAGAAGAUGGUAAGUGUAUAUCAAGAUGCUUGCUUUGCUUUUGACAUUAAUUUGGAUCCCCACUACAUGCUUCUCCCAGCUUAUAUUAUAUAUAUUCUUGUGUAAUGCAGGAGCUGCUACUAUGAAAUUAUAUUGUUUCAGUCUUAUUUAUUGAUUGUUGGAGAUAUGGAUGGAUGGUUAGGAUUAUAAGUUAUUGUUAAAGUUUUAAUCUAGGAAUAGGAAUAUAUGAUUAAAGCUUUAUUUGUAACUUAGCAGCUAUCAUCAUUUUCACAUCUCCUUAAUGAAAUCUUCAUUCGGCUAAAUACUUACAAGUUGAACACUAGUCGCUAAAACUUAAAUUGCAGCACUCGAACUCUGUUGAUAUAUUAGAAAUUGUUUCCUUUUUUAUUGCCAUUCUUUGUUGCUUGUUGUCUUAUUAUGUCUUUUUUUUCUUCACUUUUUCACAGCAUAAGCCCAAAUCAUGCGAGUUUCAAGCUCACAAAGGUGAUAGAAUCAAAAUGCACUAUCGGGUAUGUUGGCUUCAGCUUGAUAUUUUAUUUUUGUACUAUAAGUGCUCGCUUGACCCUUAAAUGUAAGUAACAAAUAUUUGAUUAUGGAUUGUAGUUCAAUUUAUUAUUUUUACAUUUCCUGGGGGGCUGGAAAAUUGCUUGUUGAUUCUUCCUUAAAAUAAGAAACUGUUUGCAAUAUUAACUUGUACAUUUGUGA